CACGUAGGUGGCAUGGUAAGUCAAAGGUGAAAGCCCUCGGCUCAACCGAGGAAUUGUCUUUUGAAACUGCUUUGCUUGAGUCCGGGAGGGGGGAGCGGAAUUCCCAGUGUAGCGGUGAAAUGCGUAGAUACUGGGAGGAACACCGGUGGCGAAGGCGGCUCCCUGGACCGGUACUGACACUGAGGUGCGAAAGCGUGGGUAGCAAACA
rnacentral:rRNA from 1 species